rnacentral:sRNA from 1 species
GCGGGUCCACGCGUGUGAUCGUCCGUGAGUCUAGCCUUUGCCCACGCAGCUUUCAGUCAUGGCCUCCGGUAACGCGCGCAUCGGAAAGCCGGCCCCUGACUUCAAGGCCACAGCGGUGGUUGAUGGCGCCUUCAAAGAGGUGAAGCUGUCGGACUACAAAGGGAAGUACGUGGUCCUCUUUUUCUACCCUCUGGACUUCACUUUUGUGUGCCCCACCGAGAUCAUCGCGUUCAGCAACCGUGCCGAGGACUUCCACAAGCUGGGCUGUGAAGUGCUGGGCGUCUCGGUGGACUCUCAGUUCACCCACCUGGCUUGGAUCAACACCCCCCGGAAGGAGGGAGGCUUGGGCCCCCUGAACAUCCCCCUGCUUGCUGACGUGACCAGACGCUUGUCUGAGGAUUACGGCGUGCUGAAAACAGAUGAGGGCAUUGCCUACAGGUACGGUGGGACCCUCAGCCCGGCUCAGGGAGCGCCCCGCCCCCCAUUCCUGUGAUGCUGGGACCACUCCUGUACAAUGUCUUCUCUGCCCCCAGCCCUGUGGCUAGCAGCGGGUGGUUGGUAGUCCCUUCCUUGUCUCUGGCAGUGGGAGCUCCCAGCUCUCACUGGGAACCCUGAUGUCUUCAGGGGCCUCUUUAUCAUCGAUGGCAAAGGUGUCCUUCGCCAGAUCACUGUUAAUGAUUUGCCUGUGGGACGCUCCG